UAAGACGUAGGGGGCGAGCGUUGUCCGGAUUUAUUGGGCGUAAAGAGCGCGUAGGCGGCUCGUUUAGUCGGUUGUGAAAACCCGGGGCUCAACCCCGGGCCCGCGUCCGAUACUGGCGGGCUAGAGGCAGGCAGGGGAGAUCGGAAUUCCUGGUGUAGCGGUGAAAUGCGCAGAUAUCAGGAGGAACACCGGUGGCGAAGGCGGAUCUCUGGGCCUGUCCUGACGCUCAGGCGCGAAAGCUAGGGGAGCAAACAGGAUUAGAUACCCUGGUAGUCCUAGCCGUAAACGUUGGGUGCUAGGUGUGGGGCGGCGAUUGACCCGCUCUGUGCCGAAGCUAACGCAUUAAGCACCCCGCCUGGGGAGUACGGCCGCAAGGUUA
rnacentral:rRNA from 1 species